GAUGGCAGCGUGGAACCAAGGUCUACAGUGGCUGCUGAGGUCAGACUUGAAGAAAUGACUCACAUGCAAGGCUGAUCUACAUAAGUAGCCUGUGCUAAGACUGCCAUCUGGUAGAACAAUCUACAUCACACGACUCCACGUUUCCUGUUACCCAAGGUAAGUACAUUUCAAGCAUGAGGGAAAACUUUAUCAAGUUUCUCUAAGUCCCUUUACUUCGACACUACACAGUGAACCUCUAUCUGCACACAGCUUAUGAGCCAGAUGCAUGGGUCUUACUCCAUUAACUGGAACUAUGGUGCUCAGUGCUGAGAGAGUUCAUCGCAAGCCGAAGCUAUUGGACUUGCCACAGAGGGAAGCAGCAGCUGACAGUCACUGGCACAUCCCUCCAGCACCGACUGUGUUACCUAGCCAUCUGGAGCUCAAGAUUAAGGCAGGUUUGAUGAGAGAGCUGUGACCUGUGGACCUCCUGAGAAAAUGACAAUGAGGGGGUACCUGAUAUACACUUCAGGACAUAAUAACCUGUGGCUGGCGAAAAACUCUCCCAAAUUGCAUAUAAUUUACAAUGUGUGUAAUUUAAGUAAAUAGGUACUUCUCAAAAAAUUUUUUUUCUGUUCAUGGUACUCUCAUGUUGUAAAAACAAAACAAAACAAAACAAAACAAACAAACAAAAACAAAAACAAAGCUCGGCCUCUUGUUAGUUCUUUGUUUCUUCAAGAUUUAGAGAACAAAAUAAGAAGUAAAUGGUGAUACUACUCAAAAGUAACG
rnacentral:lncRNA from 1 species